CCUACGGGAGGCAGCAGUGGGGAAUCUUGCGCAAUGGGCGAAAGCCUGACGCAGCAACGCCGCGUGCGGGAAGAAGGCUUUCGGGCUGUAAACCGCUUUCAGCAGGAACGAAAAUGACGGUACCUGCAGAAGAAGGAGCGGCCAACUAUGUGCCAGCAGCCGCGGUGAUACAUAGGCUUCAAGCGUUGUCCGGAUUUAUUGGGCGUAAAGAGUUCGUAGGCGGUCGAGUAAGUCGGGUGUGAAAAUUCUGGGCUCAACCCAGAGACGCCACCCGAUACUGCUUGACUUGAGUUCGAUAGGGGAGUGGGGAAUUCCUAGUGUAGCGGUGAAAUGCGCAGAUAUUAGGAGGAACACCGGUGGCGAAGGCGCCACUCUGGAUCGAUACUGACGCUGAGGAACGAAAGCAUGGGUAGCAAACAGGAUUAGAUACCCUGGUAGUCCAUGCCGUAAACGGUGGGCACUAGGUGUGGGUUUCUAUUAACGAAAUCCGCGCCGUCGCUAACGCAUUAAGUGCCCCGCCUGGGGAGGUACGGUCGCGAGAACUAAACUAACAAAGAAAGUAGACGCGUGAGACGAGCGACGACGACGACGAGGAGAGG
rnacentral:rRNA from 1 species